UUCUUGAGCUAGAUUUUCUCAUUCAUUCUGCAUCUUCUUUCUUUUAUUUUCCUUUUCUACAAUUUAUAGUUUUGGGAGCUUCUGUUGUGUAUUUCCCAUAUGCUUUGGUAGUGCUACUUAGCUCCUUUUUAAUUUAUAAUGUUUUGAAAAAGUAUUUAAUGCUAAGAUUUUGAUAUUUUAAAAGGAAAAAAAAGUUGUUGCACCAUUGCAUAGCUUGUAUCUUAAUGUUUUUAAAUUUUAGCACACACUUUGCCUUAGAAUAAAAGGUGCACACGGCCUAGCGUUGUUAAAUAAUUCCACCUAUGUAGAUUUACUUCUGAAGCUGAAUUGUUCAUUCCCUCUAAUAUGGGAAGUUGAUGGCAAUUUUUCUCAUUUUCAGCUGUAUAGUGAUAGCAGUGUCACCUUUUCAACAAUAAGUGCAAAUUCUUAACUCUUCUUUCAAGAGGUUUCAUUGGUGGGAUGUUAACCACUUAACAAUUUAAUCAUGCACUUGCAGGUUGUUAAUUUAAAGAAUCGUGG
rnacentral:misc_RNA from 1 species